rnacentral:rRNA from 1 species
GAAUUAGCAUAUUCUUGUUGGUGUGAAGGUGAUGAUUUAUAAGAAUAAUUAUGUGAACAAUCAUUUAAGAAAUAUUAGGUAGUAUGUGUUAUAGAAAGCUUGUAAUGUAGUAUAGUGUAUAAGUAUAGUAAUAGGGUUAGUUUUUUUAAUAUAAAGUAAUGUUUUAUGUUUGUACCUUUUGUAUCAGGGUUAAUUUAAGUUUUAUUGUUAUAUUAUUUAUCCCGAUUAGUGAAGAUUUAUUUUGGCGAUAUUUUGUUUGUGGCAUAAAGCAGUUUAACGUUAAGAUGGAAGUGAAACGCUGUCGGUUUACUUGUAUCUGGUUUUUAUAGAGUGAAGUUUAGUUUCAGUUCGAAUUUUUACGUGAUUUGAGGCUUAGAAUUGCGGGGACUAGCUCGUGGUUUAUUGAAGUAAUUAUAAAAUAGUGGUUGUUAUAAGUGAAAUGGGCUUGAGGUCGGUUAAUUUUAUAAAUCGUUUUAGAUAAGCUUUUUUUGGUUUUGAUUUUAGUGUUUUUUGUGGGGUAUAUAAAUUAGCUGUUUAGUUAAGAUUUAGUUGGGCUAAUGAUUAGAUAAGUAGAAUUUGUUGUUAAUUCGAGAAGGUUGGAAUAAGAAUGUUGUUUUAAGUUGUUUUAAGAGUUAAAAAGGAACUCGGCAAAAGUUUCUUCGCCUGUUUAUCAAAAACAUGUCUGUGUGAAUGUUAAUAUUUAGUCUGACCUGCCCACUGAGUUUUAAAGGGCUGCGGUAAUUUGACCGUGCGAAGGUAGCAUAAUCAAUAGUCUUUUAAUUGGAGGCUUGAAUGAAUGGUUUGACGGAGGAAAAUCUGUCUCUUUAAUUAUAUUGAAGUUAACAUUUGUGUGAAAAGGCAUUAAUAUUUUAGAGUGACGAUAAGACCCUAUAAAAUUUUACAUGUUAUAUUAUUUGAUUGAAUUGUUGAGUUAAUUGUUAGGUGGUUUAUUGGUGUUUCGCUGGGGCGGCUUGAAUAUAAUGCUAACUGUUUAUAAUAUAAAAUAUUUAUUAAUAGAGAGAGGUCCUUUAUUAAGGAGGUAAGAGUAAGUUACUUUAGGGAUAACAGCAUAAUUUCUUUUGAGAGUUCGUAUUGAAGAAGGUAGUUGUGACCUCGAUGUUGAAUUAAACUGUCCUUUAGGUGUAGGAGUUUGGAAGGAGGGCCUGUUCGGCCUAUAAAUGUUUACAUGAUUUGAGUUCAAACCGGUGUGAGCCAGGUUGGUUUCUAUCUUCUAGCUAAUAAUAUAUUGUUAUAGUACGAAAGGAUUUAAUAGUAUAGAUAUUCUAUGUGUUAUUUGAAUUAAAUUAAUAU